AUUGAACGCUGGCGGCAGGCCUAACACAUGCAAGUCGAACGAGUGGCGGACGGGUGAGUAAUGUUUGGGAAACUGCCUGAUGGAGGGGGAUAACUAAUGGAAACGGUAGCUAAUACCGCAUACCAUCAGAUGUGCCCAGAUGGUCUGGCCUUUUUGUUUGGGGAACGGCUCACCAAGGCGACGAUCCCUCGCUGUUCUGAGAGGAUGACCAGCCACACUGGAACUGUGACACGGUCAAGACUCGUACGGGAGGCAGCAGUGGGGAAUUGUGCGCAAUGGGCGCAACGCGGAUGCAGCAAUGCCGGGGGUAUGAAUAAGGCCUUCGGGUUGUAAAGUACUUUCUGCGGGGAGGGGGGAAAAGGAGAAGAAGCACCGGCUAACUCCGUGCCAGCAGCCGCGGUAAGAA
rnacentral:rRNA from 1 species